rnacentral:rRNA from 1 species
ACCAAAAAUGAAUUUCAGUUCAAUUUUAAAUUUACUAGACAAACCUAAAAUUCUAAAGUAAAUUUAAAACUUAGCCAAAAGAGGGACAGCUCUUUAGGAAUGGAAAAAACCUUAAAUAGUGAAUAAACUAAUCAAAUUAAACAAACCAUUGUAGGCCUAAAAGCAGCCAUCAAUAAAGAAAGCGUUCAAGCUCAACAUUGUACCUUUAAUAAUUACAUAAGUAAAAAUAAAUUCCUAUACUAAAACUGGGUUAAUCUAUUAUCUUAUAGAUGAGAUACUGUUAAUAUGAGUAACAAGAAUUUUAUUCUCCUUGCACAAGUGUAUGACAACUCGGAUAUCCAUUGUCAAUUAUCAAAUUAUAGGUAAAAUUCAACAAAUAAACCUACCUAAAAAUUCAUUGUUAGCCCAACACAGGAGUGCUAUAAGGAAAGAUUAAAAAAGAUAAAAGGAACUCGGCAAACCAGAACCCCGCCUGUUUACCAAAAACAUCACCUCUAGAAUAUUAAAUAUUAGAGGCAUUGCCUGCCCAGUGACUAAAGUUUAACGGCCGCGGUAUCCUGACCGUGCAAAGGUAGCAUAAUCACUUGUUCCUUAAUUAGGGACUAGAAUGAAUGGCUAAACGAGGGUUCAACUGUCUCUUAUCUUCAAUCAGUGAAAUUGACCUUCCAGUGAAGAGGCUGGAAUUUUACAAUAAGACGAGAAGACCCUAUGGAGCUUUAAUUUUCCAGUUUAAUUAAGUCAAUAUAUCAAACCUACAUGGGACAACAAAUAAUAAUAUAAACUUAAAAUUUCGGUUGGGGUGACCUCGGAGAAAAAAGUAUCCUCCGAAUGAUUAUAACUUAGACCAACAAGUCAACGUACAUACUGAAUCUUAUUGACCCAAUUUUUGAUCAACGGACCAAGUUACCCUAGGGAUAACAGCGCAAUCCUACUUAAGAGUCCAUAUCGACAGUUAGGGUUUACGACCUCGAUGUUGGAUCAGGACAUCCCAAUGGUGCAGAAGCUAUUAAUGGUUCGUUUGUUCAACGAUUAAAGUCCUACGUGAUCUGAGUCAGACCGAUAUC